rnacentral:rRNA from 1 species
GAUGAACGCUGGCGGCGUGCUUAACACAUGCAAGUCGAACGGGAAUUAUUUUAUUGAAACUUCGGUCGAUUUAAUUUAAUUCUAGUGGCGGACGGGUGAGUAACGCGUGGGUAACCUGCCUUAUACAGGGGGAUAACAGUCAGAAAUGGCUGCUAAUACCGCAUAAGCGCACAGAGCUACAUGGCUCAGUGUGAAAAACUCCGGUGGUAUAAGAUGGACCCGCGUUGGAAUAGCUGGUUGGUGGGGUAACGGCCCACCAAGGCGACGAUCCAUGGCCGGCCUGAGAGGGUGAACGGCCACAUUGGGACUGAGACACGGCCCAGACUCCUACGGGAGGCAGCAGUGGGGAAUAUUGCACAAUGGGGGAAACCCUGAUGCAGCGACGCCGCGUGAAGGAAGAAGUAUCUCGGUAUGUAAACUUCUAUCAGCAGGGAAGAUAGUGACGGUACCUGACGAAGAAGCCCCGGCUAACUACGUG